rnacentral:misc_RNA from 1 species
UCCGGUUUGUCACCGGCGGUCUCCUUAGAGUUCCCACCAUUACGUGCUGGCAACUAAGGACAAGGGUUGCGCUCGUUGCGGGACUUAACCCAACAUCUCACGACACGAGCUGACGACAGCCAUGCAGCACCUGUGUUCGAGUUCCCGAAGGCACCAAUCCAUCUCUGGAAAGUUCUCGACAUGUCAAGGCCAGGUAAGGUGGGGAUGACGUCGUACACCUGAAC